UGCGUAUCGUUGACAGCAGUCGCUGGAAUGAGGUGGGAGCGAGCGGUAGACGGAAUUAGUUGGCGGAAAGAUAACGGAGGCGGGUGGAUAAGGUAGAAGUGUAAGCCCAGGGAUCAACCUGGGAAUUGCAUGUAGAACUGUCCAGCGAGAGUCUUGUAGAGGGGGGUAGAAUUCCAGGUGUAGAGGUGAAAGGCGUAGAGGUCUGGAGGAAUACCGGUGGCGAAGGCGGCCCCCUGGACAAAGAAUGACGCUCAGGUGCGAAAGCGUGGGGAGCAAACAGGAUUAGAUACCCGAGUAGUC
rnacentral:rRNA from 1 species